CUGCAACAUACUAGUAACAGGGGCGGCGCAGUCAGGGGUGCCGGCGGAUUUCAGGGGCGGCGCCGGUGAGAUCCAUCCGGUAAAAAGUGCGGCCGAGAGAGAUGCAUGGCAGGGAGAAGCUGCGGCCGGGAGAGGAGCGGCGGCGGCGGAGGUCAGGGAGCCGGCGCUGCGCCUGGCGUCGGGGGGUCGAGGGGUGAGAGGAGGGAGGGGCGUCGGGGGGUCGGGAGGUGACGAGCGGUGAGAUGAGCACGCGCCAGGAGAAGUGGUCCGUUUUGGAGGAAUGGAUGGGUUGGACCCAACCCACAUCGUCUUCCGACCAAACGCGGGAUGAGUGGGUUGAACUCGUCCCAACCCACUUCAACCCUCCAACGAAACAUGCGGUUAGUUUAGCAGCUGCUGCUGGCUCAUCAAGGUUUUCAAUUAGGUGCAGAAGCUAUAUUUUCUUCUGGAUUAACCGAAUGGAGAGUGCAGGCUGCUACUUGUUCACACAAGCCUCCAAUUGUAGUCAUAUUCUUUGAGUUCCAUAAUGUUCAGUACAAUGUGUCCUGACAAUUAUAUUCGGUCUUUUUUUCCCUUAAACUUGCAUUCAGUACAUGAUCAUCGUAUUUGUGCUUAUUAUACUGGAAGGUGCGAUCACUGUGGAUGUAUGUCUGAAUAACAACUGGGAAGAGGAUUUCCCCCCUGAUCCAUCAGGCAAGUUUGAUGAAUUCAAGGUAUUUGUGAGAUCAAAUUUUGAGGUAUUAUGUUCUCCAGAUCUUUCAAAGUAAUUCUCUUGUGUCAAUGUUGGCCAAUCAAUUACAAGAAGCAAUAUAAUUACUUCUAAAAAAACUGCUAUGAAAUACAUUUUUUGCAUUUGUUUCAUGGAAAAUAAAAAUAUGGAUCUGAGAGAAAAGCCCUAAGUUUUUGAAUGAAAAGCAUUAAAAAAGUGAUUAACCUGUUCCUGCCUAAGUUCUAUUAUAUGGGUUGCUUCCAUUGUUAAUAGGUCUGUCCCCCUGGUACCUCCUUAAUCAGCUAUCUUAUAGAGUGGGACUGUGGAGGUAAGAUAAACAACACAUCAGAAAUUUGAAUUGUGCAUGUCAUGCUAUCAGCUUCCAGGAAAUAUGAUUGGUGAGAGCUGUAUGUUAUUUGUGCUAUAAGGCAAGACUGGUUAUCACUUCUCAAGUCUUCAAUGCAUUGCCACCAUGGAGAAGAAGAAGUGACUUAAGCACUGGAAAUUAUGGAAUUGGAUCUCCUCAGUCAAUGCUUGUGAAAAUAAUUUCAUGGGCCUGGAAUGGUUCACACGGAGUGAAAGUUCUAUGUCCUAAGAGCUAGCAAGUUUGCAGACAAUGAUAAUGUGGUAUUGCUUAGCUUAUCUAUCAUGAGAUAGUGGGAUCCUGGUGUGCCUAGUUUUCAGCUCCUUGUUGACUUAAAAACUGCUUGGUGUGUGUAAACAAAUACUGUCAUGGAAAUGCAAUGGGUUCAGCCCAUUAAUUGGGAUACCACUGCGAAAAUCUCAAGGAGGUUUCCAAUGUCAUCAAGUUGCAGAAUGCCAAGGAAACACUUGACAAGGUCUCGGAUGUGUCCGUGUGUGUAACCACUAUUGAGAAGGUCAAUAACCUGCUCCCGCAUAUCAGUGGUUCUUAACUGUAGAGCAUGAAGUGACUACCAAGUGUUUGAUGAGAUGUCUGGGAUGAGAUGCUUUCUAACCUGGAGAUGAGUAAAUGCUCACUGCAACAACUAGCCAUGGGUGUAGGAUACAUUGAAAAUGAGAAGAUAAUCCUGUCAGUUGAUCUAAAAGCAGAUGAGCUGCCCUCCAAGUUCUCACAUUCUAAGCACCAUGAGAAACAUUUGAAGUUUGCAUUAUGUCUUGAUGUUUAUCUGAUGUAUGCUGGCUACAAGAGGGCAUACUGUUUAUCUGACUAGUAUUAGGCAUUGGAAUCUUUGUAUUUGGAGAUAUAUUCUAAUGUGUUUGCACCUCUAGCAUUGGUGAAUUAUCAAGCUUACUUCAGUUUAUUCAGAAGUUUUCAGAAAUGUCCAGCCAUCAAAUAUUCCCAAUGAUAGCCGGAGUGGUUGCUGUCAUUAGUAAGGAGAAUCCAGAAGGAAAAGGUUUUAUUCUUCAAGUGCUAUACCUUGCAGCUGUCCAUGACAACCCGAAUGCAAUGGCUGGAUUCAGAUAAUUUAACUGAGAGUGUGGGGUUGUUGGUGCUGUCUCUGUUGGCUGUGGAUUCGAGUAGAUGAGAUGGCUCACUCUUGUAUAAACCAAUGGGAUCCAGUUUGUGUUUUAAAGCUCAGAUCCACUGGUGAACCAACAGGGAGAGGAUAUUUUCACACAUCAGAACUGAAUGAAUUUUUGGCUUGGUUGAUCUGGAGAUGCAGUUCACACUACGAUGAUCAUUUUGCUGUCGAAGCACUAUAGCGCGGUGCAGUUUAUUUUUUGACUAAAAAUGAACUCGAAAGAGGAGCCGACAGAGCCAGCUCCACUGGCCCCAUGCUACAGUACUGCUGCUAUAGUAAUAACCGGAGCCGGAGCACACACCCUCAAAGCCUGACUAAUCAUAUCUGGAAGAGCUUCUCCCCUGUUGGACGUGAAAGCCCAUGCAUCAAGACACUGUUAGGAAUGGAAUGUUUGAAAGAAUGCCAAUUGCAUUUUUAUGGAGCACGCAGAUGACAUAUCUAUAUGGGGAGAUCCGAGAUACUAAUCAUCAGGCUGAUAUUACAAA